UGGGGAAUUUUGGACAAUGGGGGAAACCCUGAUCCAGCCAUCCCGCGUGUGCGAUGAAGGCCUUCGGGUUGUAAAGCACUUUUGGCAGGAAAGAAACGUCAUGGGUUAAUACCCCGUGAAACUGACGGUACCUGCAGAAUAAGCACCGGCUAACUACGUGCCAGCAGCCGCGGUAAUACGUAGGGUGCAAGCGUUAAUCGGAAUUACUGGGCGUAAAGCGUGCGCAGGCGGUUCGGAAAGAAAGAAGUGAAAUCCCAGAGCUCAACUUUGGAACUGCAUUUUUAACUACCGGGCUAGAGUGUGUGAGAGGGAGGUGGAAUUCCGCGUGUAGCAAUGAAAUGCGUAGAUAUGCGGAGGAACACCGAUGGCGAAGGCAGCCUCCUGGGAUAACACUGACGCUCAUGCACGAAAGCGUGGAGAGCAAACAGG
rnacentral:rRNA from 1 species